GGUGGCUGACGAUGCAGUAGGGCUCGGGCUGGCGGAGGCCGCAGGUGGAGGAGGCGGAGAGGCGGGAGGCGCGGCCGAUGAGCAGGUCGCCGGUGGCGGGRUAGCAGCUGCCCUCGGCGCAGCCAUAGCUGUACUCGGGCUCCUGUAGCUCCUGUGCCGCCGCGGGCCACAGCGCUGCGCGGCCGGAGGGAGAGAGGGGGACAGAGGGUGAGAGAGGGAAGCGGGAGCGGGGCCAGGCUGGGCGCCCYGAGCCGCCCCGGCGGGCGCUGCAGAGGCGCGCCCAGCCCGCCGUGCCCCGACGGCGGCCGGAGCGGAGCGGAGCGGGAGUUACCGAGGCAGCAGCAGAGGUGCCAGUGUCCCUCAAGAACACUUUGCCCUCACUAUUUGCAAUGCGAGAGUGAAAACACACCAUGGUCUGUCCGGCCCAGCAAACCCUGCCGGGGUAGCCUUGUAGAAGUCCUGUUCUCCCUUAUAGGCUCCUUUGUGCCUUGCCACAGACAGCAUGAAAACAUGCUUUGUUCCAGCCUGGGGGUGACCCUGUCGUGUGACAUCGAGGAUGGAGCUGGAGUUUCAGCACGGACUGGGAUGGCCACCAUCACCCAAAACCGCAGUCCUCUUUCAGAGGCAACUGAGACCACCACAUUUAGUGUGUGAGUGAUUAGGAACAGGGAACUUGUGUCCCUCCCUCUCUGCAGUCCUUGUGACAAAUAGUGAGUAGGUGUAUUUUGACUCUUCAAGUGAUAAAAAUUCACUUUUGUGUCACGCCCUAUCCUUGUGGUUGGUGAGCCACCUUUACAGCCCUGGAGUAUCAUCUGUGUUUGUGCUGGGUUGGAAGUCUUCUCAAAUAACAAAAUUUCAGGAUUUGACCUCAGUGGGAGCCACUUGAUCGCCCUUUUUCUUGAAACACUGCAGUGGUUGAAUGCCUAGCAGACAGAGCUGAYGAUAUGAUUUUGAUUAAAUAUAUCUGUGAUUGUACAUUGGUUAAUUGUUGUUUGCAUUUUUAUUAAUGCCAUUGAAGUCAAAAUGCUCUGCAGCAAGAUACYUAUUUCAAUUUUUUUUUUUCAAGAAACAGUUUUMUGAAGCCACUUCUGCCCAAAAGGAAGAGGUCCAGGGAGAACUACAAAGAGGUACUUUUUAUCUAGAGACAGCAUUUCCCCCACAAAUCAAGUCUGCAAAAACACUUUGAAAGUUUUUGCAUCACUUCCAGUCGGAAAUGCUGCACAGUUGUAAACCUCAGAAGCUGUCACAGGAUGGAUUUGGAGUUCUGUAGCUGCUGGUCCCAUCAGAUCUGCUUCCUUUGUGUGUCUGAGCAUGCUUGGAGGAAGGCAAGGGAGAUUAGACUCUGUGCUGACUUUCUUCUUCCUGCUUCCGUUUUUCUUCCAGCGAUUUCUGUUUCCCCCCCGUGGAUAUAUGUCCCCUCCAGGCACACUUAACUGCCUUGUGGUUACAGAUUUCUCAUCCACGCAGCUUGUGGAAAGCCAUACGGCAAUUCUCACUGUCAACAGUGGAUUUUAGGAGGAAGUUCUCUUUCAACUUUUUGCUUGUGAAUUCAGAUUUUUAAAGCCAUGAAUGAAAUAAUUUUGGUUUAUAUGCAAUUGGGAAUUUCUGUCUAAGGGCUUUAGUUUGCCYCUUCCAGGUGCAGUGCAGCAGGGAUGCACUGAAACCUGCAGAAAACUCUUCCUUGCUUGGAGACCUSCAUGUGUGCAGCUUGGUGUGUGCUGCAAGUAAAACAGUGAUGUUCGAUUUCAUUAUGACAAAGUCAGUCUAAAUACAGUCAUCUGAUUACAGCCUAGUAACUUAGAAAGAAGCCUCACACCUCACAGACGAUUUUUUUAAAGUGCUAAAAUUCAGAAAAUGCUAACCCACAAUUUAYGUGCUGUCCUGCGUUCAGGUGGCUUUGUCAGAUUAUAUCAAAAUUAUAAUUUGAUUCCAUUAUUUUCACAAUAGAAUGUGUCACGUAUCAUGCACGUUGCACACUGCCCUGGCUCACAGCUGGUUUGAGUUAGAGGAGUAUCUCAGAAAUCUCAUCCGCCAGCAGUUCCCACCCAAGCCCCCAGCGCAUACCAAUGCUACUUUAGCUCUUGUAAACACAGGGUGAUAACURUGCAGUGUUUAUCUCCGUUGAAUCGAUAAGGGUUGUUUUACGGGCGCUGCUGGCAUGGGUAAAUGUUCAGAGCCCUGUGUUUCUGCAGAGCAUUCCUCSUUUUACAGACCUGGUCUGGGCUAUAUCUGAGCUCUGAAGCAGCACCGUGCUGAAUGAAGUCGCUCGCUGUGGGACAGUCCAGCCAGGAAUGACAGGGUUAACUGAGGGAAACCCAUCAUUAGUGUGCUCUGCAUCYUGCAGGAAUAUGUAUACCAAGGGUGGGAUUUUGAAACUGAGGYAUAGCUCACUUCAGCCUUUUUUAAACUCUGGCACUGCUGUAACAUUUGCUUAGCCACGGUUUCCUUCUUUAUUUAUAUAUAAAAAAGGGAAUUUAGGCCAAUUCAGGUGUUCUUUAUGGCUACAAAAAACUGUUGAGUGAACCCUGACUUCUGUGAAGUGCUGCAUGUGGGAGAAGAGCUGGAGAAACUGGUUUUCAACAUUUCUGGCCCUUUGGACUUACUGCUUAAACCUAAGAGCUGGAUUUAUCCUCCAGAUGUUAGCUGCAUUAAUGAAAAAUGCGUGAAACCCCUUAUAAGCAUAAGGGAAAAAAAGGCAUUGCAGGAUUACCAUUGCCAGACAAAAGAUUUUUAAGUUGCUUUCGGCGUUAAGCAUCUGCGCACUGCCAUCCAGUGGGCGCUGGGGGAUCCGCUCUGUCGCCCACCGCCAGCGGCCCCGCGCUGCACGGAGCUGCCGCAUUUUCAGCGAACAGAGCGGGACCCGCACAUGGUCAGGGGUCCUGGGGCAUCCCUGCUCCGACUCAGC